rnacentral:tRNA from 1 species
GGGUAUAGUUUAAUUGGUAAAAUGCAGCUCUCCAAAAGCUGAGUUGUGGGUUCAAGUCCUGCUACCC